GAUAAACGCUAGCGGCAGGCUUAACACAUGCAAGUCGAGGGGCAGCAUAGAUUGUAGCAAUACAAUUGGUGGCGACCGGCGCACGGGUGCGUAACGCGUAUGCAACCUGCCCGUCACAGGGGGAUAAUCCGGAGAAAUCUGGUCUAAUACCCCAUAACAUAUGGAUCGGCAUCGGUUCAUGUUGAAAUUUUCGGAGGUGACGGAUGGGCAUGCGUAGCAUUAGCUUGUUGGUGAGGUAACGGCUCACCAAGGCGACGAUGCUUAGGGGGACUGAGAGGUUUUCCCCCCACACUGGAACUGAGACACGGACCAGACUCCUACGGGAGGCAGCAGUGAGGAGUAUUGGUCAAUGGGCGCAAGCCUGAACCAGCCAUGCCGCGUGCAGGAUGACGGCUCUAUGAGUUGUAAACUGCUUCUGUACGAGGGUAAAGUGGGUUACGUGUAACCUUUUGAAAGUAUCGUACGAAUAAGGAUCGGCUAACUCCGUGCCAGCAGCCGCAGUAA
rnacentral:rRNA from 1 species